ACCGAGCUCAUUAACAUGGGCUUAUAACUCAAGUGGGGCAUUAAUGUGGUGGAAUGUUGGGCUGUUCCAGAAGGUUGGAUUUGGUGAGCUCAAAUCUGGCCUGCCCUGUCCAAGCGCAGAGCUGGGUCACGUGGCCCAAGCAAAGGCAUGGGCUGAUUGACUCCUAAAGUAGGGUGGACCGCGUGAGGCUGGUUUCACAAAGCAACGAACAGCUCCCGCUCUGUGCAGUGGAAGGAUAACGGGCCGAUGCUUUCCAAGUCCAGCAACGCCUGAUGGGCUGCUCCAAUUAGACCACUAUUUUA
rnacentral:SRP_RNA from 1 species